rnacentral:lncRNA from 1 species
CCGUGAGGGCACCGCGGGCGCUUCGGCCACACCGCGGCUCCCUCUGGGGCUCGGCCGCGCCCUCCCGCUCCCCCCGGGGCUGCACCCGAACGGCCGCGCCGCUGCGGCCCCCGGUGUGACCGGGAAUGGGGAGCGGAGCCCGGCGGGCAGCACGUGGGCGGCACCGGGGGGACCGGGCCGCGCUCGCUAAAACUGCUGUGAAAUCAAUGGGAUGUGUCGGAUUUCUCCUUGCUGCGCACCACCAAAAUUCCCUCUUUGCUCACUCCUGA